GAAACAGCCCAAGUGUCAGAGCAAAGAUGCUGAAGUUGGCCUUUCCAUGACUCAAGAUCUGAAAGAUGAACUUUAAUUUCCCCUAACCCAGGAGAGAGGCAGCUGCUUGUGGAAAACUGUUUCUGUACCUACCUACUUCUGAGAAAACUUCAAGAAAAAACAUCAAAGCAUUAAAACCGCAGGACACAGAUAACCUGAAGGAAAGGGAAGGUAGAGAUGUUCAGCGCUGAUAACAGUCAAAUAGGCAAUGACUGGCUCACAGCUCCCUGGAGACUCCAGGAGAACAGGAAAAAAGGGUUCUUAUCCAUGCUGUGGGGCUACAGAACGGUGGUGGGGUUUUUGUGUUUUUUUUUUUUUUUUUGAGAGCUUACAAAUUAAUCCACUUCUGUAAAAAAUUUUCCUAGCACUAAAUUCAAGCAGGAAUUGACCACACAGAUUCUUGUGAAAGGGCGGAUGGCCCAGAGAACAACACUGUCGUGUAUCAUUCUCUAAGAGAGAAAUUCUGUUCAAAUAGAUCACUCCCCCUCUAUAGAAACCUCUAAUUGGUCAUUGAAUAAAGGUGUUUUUGAGGUUCUGUAAUCCUAAUGGUAAGAACACAAACAAAAAAUUACUACUCUAUGUUUUUAAAAAUGCAAGUUGCUAUUUUCUUUAAUACUGGGCUGUUUUAUACAUUUUAAACCUAGAGGGAAAUGCCAGCCUGCUUUUCAUCACAUUUCUAG
ensembl:lncRNA